UUAGAGAUUCCCUUAUUACAGUCCUCCAUACCUAAACCAUGUCUUUUUUCUUUUGCAGAUGUACUGUCCAUUCUGUGGAUCUGUGCUUGGAGCUUCUGAUGCCUUUUGCUGUGCAUGUGGCAAAAACAUAACUUUUUUAAAGCAUGUCAAAGUGGAGACACCUGCUACUGAUGCACAAGUUGAUGUUGCACAACCCAGCACCAGUGCAGCUUCAACCAAUUCCAAUGUGCCAGUUGGACUUCAGCAGCGGCCAGAAGAAGACAAACCCCAUCGAGACGACGUCUGCCACCGGAACAGCACCACUACCUGACCUAGACCGCCUGAAGGCUCUGUAUACAGUCUGUCCUGAUGCCGUCUUCUUUAAGACUUUACCGCCCCUGAAUGAGGAGACAACGGAUACUGCAGAGGAAGACGUAGAGACGAGCUCAUUCCCACCUCCUCUUACCAGCCUUGUGAUUGAGGACGACAUUGAUGAGGAGAACAUUAAGGAACUAUGUGACCGUCAGUGGCAUUCUUUAGAGCCUAAAUAUGACUCGGAAGGAAUAAAAAAAUUUGGAAUGUGUCACAAGGAAUCAGGCAAUCAGCCCCUUGUGGUAUGAACACAGAAAAGGCAGAAUAACUGGAACAAAGGCUCAUGACAUUUAUGUCUUGAAGGACAAAACUGACCCAAAAAACAAUGUAAAGAAAGUGAUGGGCUACAAACACUACAAUAUUUCGAACAAAGCUGCAGUCGCAUGGGGUGCGGACAACAAGACAAGAGCCCGAAAACAGUAUAUUGCACAUCAGUCUUCUAAACACGCACGAUUUAAGUGUUCAACUGUAGGACUGAAGAUCAGUCUUCUAAACACGCACAAUUUAAGUGUUCAACUGUAGGACUGAAGAUCAGUGAGAAAAGGCCUUACCUUGCUGCCUCUAGUGAUGCAGUUAUGUCAUGUGCAUGUUGUGGCAGUGGGUGUGUAGAGAUAAAGUGCCCCUACAAACAUAGAGACAGCGACAUCUACACAGCUUGCCAGGACAAAGACUUCUGCCUUGACAACGACCUGAAGCUGAAGAGAGAGCACAGGUAUUUUACCCAGGUACAGAUGGAGGUGUAUGUGCACGGUGUAGCCUUCUGUGAUUUUGUAAUCUAUACAAAGAGACACAUGGCCAUCAUCCGCGUUGACAGAGAUGAGACAUUUAUUGAAGAGCUCCUGGCAAAGUGUGAGUCAUUUUUCUUCACACACAUCCUACCAGAAUUAGUGACUCAGAAAAUAGAGAACGAGAAACCCACUGACAGUGAGGUGUGUGACAGUGUUGUGUCGACACAAGUGUGGUGCCUGUGUCAGCAGGAAGAAUAUGGACGCAUGAUCAUGUGUGAGGGGCCCAACUGUUCCUACACUUGGUUCCACUAUGAAUGUGUCAACAUCAGGAAAAAGCCAAGAGGAUCCUGGUUCUGUCCCAGUUGUGUGAUGGGCUGAUGAAAUUGUCUUCAGGUAUCGCCAGCUGUGCUCCACGUGCCGCCAAGUCAUCCGCGAUCAGGAAGCCGCGAUCCGCCAAGACCAGAUCUCCAUGCUCCAGUAACUGCAGGAAUCCAGACCUUUGUGUGAUCACCUUGUCAGAAACCCUCCCACCAAAGCAUUUAGACACAAAGGAAAUGGCUCCACAUGGCGCGACUGCUACCAGGACCUUUAGAGUGUUGUGACUCUUAUAGUUUGACCAUGUCAUUCCUCGGGCUGUAAAAUUUCCAGGAUGUUCGAUAAAGACCUCGCAACAAUCGAUGAUCACACGACAUUUCUUAUAAGUGUCUUUCUUUACUUUAGGCAUGUCCCUGAUAGUUUCCUCCUUGGAUGACCAAUGCACAAGAAAAUCCAACUCACUUGCGAUGACAGGAAGAGAUUUCGCAAUGAUGUUAUUCACGGUUUGUCGCGACACAUUAAAUUGGUAGGCCAAGUCCUGAUCAACAAGAUUGAGGCGAAAUUUCAUGAGAACCAGAAGCAGGAUAGAGCCGGGGGAAAGGGUCAUAGACACUGGUAACAUCGCUCUGACGCACCCAAGUAACCAUAGGAAACUUCCAUAACUUGGCAUCCCAGUGAAGAACUGGGUCUUGCUGUCCCUGUUCCCUUCUUCCAAGAACUUGUCUGUAAACUUGCAUCCCUGUAGUUUCUGCCUGGCAUCCCAUAGCUCCUCCUGCAGCUUGCCCAUCUCCAUCAACUGCUGCUUCUCCUGCUGUAGCCUGCUGAUUGUCCCCAGACAAGCAGCAUGUACAUCUGAAAUGAUGACAACUUUUUGUUAGCAUGCUGUUAUGUAAAACAGUGAUUUAAAGCAUGCAUUUGUAAGUAAUUUUGCCCUAAUACUGACAUGUUUCUUCAUUCAAUAAUGUUAUGUUUGUUUUGAUCAAAUCUUGUUUUUGAGAGUCAGAGAUUAUUAUCGCGAUACUAUAGUAUUGCCACUCUUGUAUCUGGAUUCAAAAUCAUAUCACAACUUCAGUAAACAUUGAUUUGCCAGUUU